rnacentral:rRNA from 1 species
AUUGAACGCUGGCGGCAUGCUUUACACAUGCAAGUCGAACGGUAACAGGCCGCAAGGUGCUGACGAGUGGCGAACGGGUGAGUAAUGCAUCGGAACGUGCCCAGUCGUGGGGGCUAAAGCAGCGAAAGCUGCGCUAAUACCGCAUACGAUCUAUGGAUGAAAGAGGGGGACCGGAAGGCCUCGCGCGAUCGGAGUGGCCGAUGUCCGAUUAGGUAGUUGGUGGGGUAAAGGCUGACCAAGCCAACGAUCUGUAGCUGGUCUGAGAGGACGACCAGCCACACUGGGACUGAGACACGGCCCAGACUCCUACGGGAGGCAGCAGUGGGGAAUUUUGGACAAUGGGCGCAAGCCUGAUCCAGCAAUGCCGCGUGCAGGAAGAAGGCCUUCGGGUUGUAAACUGCUUUUGUACGGAACGAAACGGCUCUCACUAAUACUGGGGGCUAAUGACGGUACCGUAAGAAUAAGCACCGGCUAACUACGUGCCAGCAGCCGCAGUAACAC